GACGAACGCUGGCGGCGUGCUUAGCACAUGCAAGUCGAACGGAAAGGCCCUGCUUUUGUGGGGUGCUCGAGUGGCGAAGGGGUGAGUAACACGUGAGUAACCUGCCCUUGACUUUGGGAUAACUUCAGGAAACUGGGGCUAAUACCGGAUAGGAGCUCUUGCUGCAUGGUGGGGGUUGGAAAGUUACGGCGGUUGGGGAUGGACUCGCGGGUUAGCAGCUUGUUGGUGAGGUAGGGGCUUACCAAGGAUAUGAAGGAAAGCCGGCCUGAGAGGGUGAUCGGCCACACUGGAAAUGAGACACGGGCCAGAAUCCUACGGGAGGCAGCAGUAGGGAACCGUGCGCAAUGGGCGAAAGCCUGACGGAGCAACGCCGCGUGAGUGAUGAAGGUCUUCGGAUCGUAAAACUCGGUUAUUAGGGAAGAACAUAUGUGUAAGUAACUGUGCACAUCUUGACGGUACCUAAUCAGAAAGCCACGGCUAACUACGUG
rnacentral:rRNA from 1 species